rnacentral:rRNA from 1 species
AUGACAGCAGUUAAACAAGAAGAAGCAGACACAACCAGUGAUAUCAGCGGUAGCCAAAUUACCCAUGUAUUCAUACGCAAAGCAGGUUCAAUCCAAAAGUUCAAAGGCAAGAAAAUCCAACUAAAGCCUGGAAAGUACAUUCUCCGUGACUGCGAAAGAUCAUCCGCAGCACCACCAGAGACAUUUGCAACAAACGACAAAAGAAUGACGGGACUACCGCUGUCACAACUACUUUAUCAAGGGUGUUUGACAAAAGAGUCACCAUUGGCUGGAGAACUUCUUCCCUCAGGCACACAUGAGCAAAGGGCAAGCAUAUGCUUUCACCUUCAAAUGCACUUCCAAGGGACUGCGCCUGAUCGUCUACUCAAUAUAAGCAAGUUGCAAGAGCCGCUUGUUAUAUAA